UUUUGAGCAUCUUCAGUUGUGCCAAACCUGUCAAAACAUGGUGGAUCUCAGCGACCCUCAAAUGAUCAGGUCAUGGUCGGUUGAUCCCAGACUACUGACUUCUGUAACUACCAUUACCUUCAGCCACUACCAUUACCUUUGGUGUUGGUCUCUUGUAAACGCUCAACCAUCUGUCUCGAAGUUCGUCUGUUGAGCUUCACAGGCAAUGAGAACUUGUUCGGGUUCGGGCACAAAGUCUGGAGUGGACAGUUGAGACGUACGAAUUGUUUCUCCCACCUCUCCGUCAAGUGCCUUGAUCCAUUGUUUAAACCCUUUCCGGAAAGAACCGGUUGGUCAAGUUCCAGAAUGCAUCGCGUCAUUAAUGACUCAGUUAUGUAACAUAAACAUUACGAUAAACGUCAGAUCUGUCUUGAAUUUAGUCAGUUUUAGGUAGCCAUUAUUUGUCGGCAACCCUUUCCAGACGUGCGCGCCAGACAUACCUGGGAUACAUGAUCACGUAGUGGAUUGAAUUAGAUAUAUUGUGGCAGAACCCAUCCCACCAAUUCAUCACCUCAAGCAACCAUUACCUGCCAUUUAUCAUUCUUGUGAUGCCCUUUAUUGACGACUUCAUAGUACAAGGCCGAGGGGUGGACGGUAAUCUUGAGGGAUGAUGAUGAACUGAAGACGGCUCCCGAUUUGUUCCAUGGGUUGUAAUGCAGAAUCAAAAGACCAUGCAGAAUCCAGACUGAAGCGAAUUACCGACAACACUUGGACCACCACCCUACUCAUGACCUCUCAACUAUGACAUCUUCAAGAACAACCAUAGAACCGGUUAGACAUAGUUGUCGAGCUGAGUCUCUCUUUGCUAAACUAUACACACACAGUUUUUGUAUUGCUCCCUUACUGUAUAUUCUUUCGAAUGCUCGUCACUCAGUUGCGUGGAGUCUUCAACGUUUUUCAUACGCUGUAGUUUGUACUGAAGACCGCUUCACCGCCAUUUGACUCAGUUGAUUUCACCUCCCGCACUGCCGGCUGUUUGUCUCUGUCCUGCCCACAACAACAACAGCAUCCCAGUACUAGGAAUAGCACAGACAGACACAGAAAGACAAUCCCGACUAUCAGAAAUGGAUUAUCGUGAGCGCCUCUUGUGAUCCCAAGAGCAGUAAAGAUACCACCCUGUAUCAAAAAUAUUACGCCAACGAUGAGGGAACACACAGGGAUGCAUAUGGCCCAUGAUGUACAGUUGUGUGAAGAGCUCUGUCCGCUCCCGUCACCCCCGCUUUCACCCAUGGCGGCUAGAUGUCCACUCGGCUCGCUUUCGGUGGUAAGAUACCGUCUGGAGGACUGAGCAAACAGGUUGGGGUGAACAUGAACUGCCCACGAUCGGA